rnacentral:lncRNA from 1 species
GGAGGAAGACAGGUAAAUGAGAACAUAGCUGUGAUUCCUCUGAUGAUGUUUUAUAUGUAGCAGCAUGGUCUCAAGAUUGUCAGCAAGAACAGACUCCUCACCACUUACUGCUUUAUUUCUUUAGAAAAAGACAGUGGGGAAUACCAGACCAGAAUGGACAGGGUCAACAACAAGUGGUAAAUAAGAUGAUGAUAUAGAAACAGAUGAUUCGUCUGGUGAUAAUGAUACAAUCAAAGGAGCUGACAGAGAAGGUGGUGUUCACCCUUGUGCCAUUUGCAAGACAUGGUUAGAGUCUUUCUUUGACCAUAAAGAACUGAGUUAUACAGCAUCAUAAAGUCAAACUUGAAAUGAUGGAGUGCAGUAACUGUUAGUGUACAUCUGUAUGGUAUGGAGGAGAUACACACAGUGAGUACAGGUGCUUCAGUCUUGCCUUGUCUCUGCAGCUGGUAGGUAGCCAUGAUGGAUGUCACUGAGCAUGCUCAGUUCCUAGAGGAUUAUGGGAAAUCACCAUGGAGAUACACCAUGCAUACCCUAGAUGCCAUCUUGGAUCUGUUCAUAAGUAAAAAAAGGGGAUCACUGCUUGUUACAGGAUUUGACAUUUUUCAGAAGAGUUCACCACUGCUGCCAUUUCUACAGUUCUAUGCUGAGUUCAGUGAGAGGCAGAACUACAGAAACUGUAGAGUUCUCCUGGAUGAAUUUAAAGAAAUCUGUGUGUUCAGUUCAACCAUGAGAAGAGUGUACGAGUGUUGGAAUGUAUCGGUGAUAAUGAUUGGCUGGAAAGGACGACCUAUCGUAUCAUACAACACAUGCUAACCUCAACCCCUAGUGUUCAUAAAGUCACACGGUUACUGAAGAUCCUUGACAGCGAAAGUAUAACUUUGGUGUUUAAACAUGUAGAUCCAGAUGUUACAGUGUAUAGAGGAGGAAGAGAUAUGGCAGGUGAAUUUCUCAGCUCUGCUCACAUCUUCAUCACAACAUUAUGAGAAGGAAUGUAUGUUUAUGAUUGACCAGUUAAUGAACAAACAGAAGUUUCGAGAAGCACAAAAGUUUGCCAAAAUUACAGGAAUUUGAGCUCAUCAUGUCACCAUACGUCAGCUGAAACAAGAGAAGGAAAGACUGAGCAGUACAGAUCUCUGGCAGUCAAGACACGCCAGGUUCAAGUUUUAUAGAGACUGUACCAUCAAGUUUAGAAAACAUGAAAUUCCUCCAGGGAAAAUUGCUGACUUCUUCAAGCUAACCAAUGGUAAUCAUGUGACGCUUGUUGAGAGUGCGUGUUCAUUCAACAGACUGUUGGUAAAGAACCAAAAUAACAAGAACACAAAACAAGGAAAGAAGGUAAAAUAAUUUAAAAAAAG